CUGGGGUUGUCCCUAUUUUACCCAGCAAUGGGUUGUAUUUAACCCAGCAUUUUUUAGAGUGUGCAAUUAAGAUAACAUGAUAGAGAUAAUAUGUCGUUUUACAGCUUUUCUUCUAUGGGUUUAGGUUUCAUAUGAACAGGGCUGCAUUGUUCAUGCGUAAUACUUUUGAGACCUCACACUCACUCUGAGGCUUGUGGGUAUGAAACUUUUGAUGGCUGCUUUAUCCACAGUAUUCCUUUCCUCAGUAUGACAUGGCAUUUUGAUAUACCCGUUGCUUAUAACACCUGUCCACAGUGUCAGUUGCUGUGCUGUUGUCAAAUCCACACAUGAUGUUAGCCUAUGCUCCCACACACACACUCCACUCCGCUGUUAUUAGUAUGGGAAAAUGUAACAGUACUGAUAAAUAAAGAGCCUGUGUGUUCAAGCUUUUGACAAGUAGUAUACAGAGAGACUGCACAAUUAUGUCCUCUUUGUCCUGGACAUGUUCUGGGCGUGAUUUCUAAAUUGCCUAGCUUUGGGUUUUAUCUUUGUUUUCCUAUAUUAGUUUUAUACUCGCUGAAGAUAAUGACUGAAGUUUGACCAAUAGAGCACAGGCUUCGUACACAAUCAACCAAUUGUGGUGAGCGAGAAGAUAGGAUCUACAGAGAACGGUCAAAGCAUGCGAAGAUAAGACAAAGGCCAUAAAACUGUCCUAAAGGUCUUUUAUAAGAAGCACUGACUGGAUCUCACAGCACUGAGAGAAACGCAGGUGAAGAGUCAAUACAGACCAACAAGAUCAACACAUGAAAGCAACUCUUAGAAGAUUUUUGACAAGAUGAGAAAAUUACUCUUGCUGGUUCUCACCAUAACAGCUUCUGUAGCUUCUGCCAGUCCACUUCAGGAUGAGAAGCUUCCUGAUCAAGUGGUGAAGGUGCCGGCGGUUGAGAAAGAACCAAGGGUAGAGCACACAGAAGCAGAGCAAGGUCCUCUAAUGCAGGAUGAAACUGUUGCAGAUUCACGUAUGUUGGAGCCUGAUUCAGUGCUGCUGGGGCCAGAGACAACAGAGGAACACAGAGUACCAGAAGAGACACAAGUGAUGUUGGAGGAACCGAUGCUAGAGGCAGAUUACCUGACUGAAGAGAUGCCAGAGACAGAACUAGAGCCUGAGCCAGAAAUAACUGCCAUUCAGAUGAACAGAAACAUCAUACCUGUGGAGGAAGCUGUACAACAGUUAGAGUCUGAAACUAAUAUAGAGGUGGAAGAUGAAAAAGAAGAAAAUGUAGUAAAGGAGGAGCCUACACUUGAGGCUGAUUAUAUAGAGGUUGAAGAUCCAGAAAUACAAAUGGAACUUGGGAGGGAAAGACGAAGGACACAGAUUGGGAGAUGGACUUGUAGAGGAGUUGUCCUACAGGGCAAAUGUUACCAGUACUUCACAAGAAACCUUGAUGCCUAUACUGCUGAGUUACAAUGUCAAUCUAUCUGCCCCAAUGGCCACCUGGCCUCUGUGACAAGCAGCUACAUUCGUGACGGAAUGGGCAAGUUAAUGGACCGGUAUGGCGGGCGCACUCGCGCAUGGCUUGGAGGACGGAGAAUCAUUGGUGUAUGUUCAUUUGUUUUGCAGUGUUUCACUUUUUCACAUGGUUUAUUCAUUUCUCCACCAUAUCUGUCCCUCUAGUAAGUCACUUUCCUGUUUUGACAGACAAAUAAUUUUGUUUGGUUGGAUGGAACGCAGUGGAGCUAUAAUGGCUGGGCUUUUGGAGAGCCCAAUAAUGCUGGUGGGAUGGAGAAUUGCGUGGAGACGUGGAGUAAGUGUUGCUACUGAACAACAGUUAACAAAAAUCUGUCAAUAAAAAGUCACAUUCAUUGCACAGAUCCAAAGGAAUAAUAUAUAAAUAUUAACUCCUUCACCUAAGUUUUAUUCUCUGUGUUCCUUUUGUAGUGAUGCCUUCCUCUUUUCAUGAUCUGUCUUUACCAGUUUUUACAAAGCUUUGUCUAUUUUCAGAUGAUCUGGCGUUCAGUGAUGUACCAUGCGCAAUACCCAAACCGUUCAUCUGUUCCUGUCCAGUUUAGACAGCCAGAAGGUUAACCUAACCUGC
ensembl:lncRNA bone marrow proteoglycan-like